CAUCACUUGACAACGUACUACACCUAUCAAAACUACUCUUAGCCUGUAGCCUUUGUCAAAAACAUACAACAGAACCCAACUGCUUGCAUUACGACAAAUGGCCUUGACUGUCCAUACUUCACACUGGGACAAUGGGUGUGACAGGGAUGCCCCUUAUUACUGCUGCUGUUUAACCUAUCCCUAGAUCCACUGUUGCAAGCCAU